UACGGGGCACAAAGAAGCCAUUCAGUAAGUGGUGGCUGUUACUGCAGCCUGGCACACGCUCGAUGACCCAGAAAUGUCAGUUUCCUUCAUCAUGUCCAGGGACUGACCCCCUACCACUUCCCUUCACCUGACACCCCCCACCCCCCCAUCAAAGGUCACAAUGUUCCAGGGCAAACCACGGGGCCCCAGGGUCUCUUGAUCCCAGAACGCAGCCGCCUCAGCUGUAGGAAGAGGCGCCUCCUCCCUGCUCCUGAGCCACUACCCCACCAGGAUGCACCGAAGAGAUGGUACUUCUCUUCACUCGAGUUUGUCAUCAAGACUCAAGCGAAGGGACAGAGGGCCGUGGAAGGAAGGGACAGCCCAAGUGUACGGCUGCUCCCAGACUCCUCGGCCAAGCCUGAGUAGAAUGGGGGGCCGGGGGGAUAACUGGUCAAUCAGACAGGCCAGGAGGGCGAUGGACGCCAAGAACUUUGCGUAAACACUGAGGAAAGGGGGAGGCGGGGCAGGUUGCCAACGAGGGUGGAACUGGUGGGGGACAAGGAAGGCUGGGCUGAGGGAGAGGAGGAGGCUGUUUCAGUCUGUUGGAAAAUAGGAAAAUUGAGACAAAAAUAUCACAGCCGUGAAACUGGUUGGAUGCCAAGUGAGCCAGAUCUGUCAGGAAUUCGACCCCAGUACUAAGCCCCAGUGCUCGGGGCUGUCAUUGACACCACCGAGGUGGGGACAAGUGGGUCUUUAAAUAGCUCGGUGUCUCAGAAGUGGGGGAGGCAGAAUGUUAAAUAUGACGCCUGCUGCCGUCCUGGGCCCCCCCAGAGGCCUCAGGCAGGGCAAGCUGGCCCCAGUUCACUCCUGAGAAAGAAGUGGGCAAGAAGUGGAUGGAGACUAGAGAAGGGGGGCUUUUUCCACCAUCAAAAAGGAUCCCUUGAUUUCUUGCCAUUGCCUGUUCCACUGGCUCUUGUCUGACCGUAGGGAAGUCCUUCCUGAAGUCUAGCCACCGUUCUGUUGUAGCCUUAACCUGUCUCUUCUCACAGUUUCCUCAGCAGAGGUAGGGUACGGUUAGUCCCCACCUCCCUGAAUCAUCCUGCAGAGACAGUCUGGGAUUUCCUGGCACCCUCAGCCUCGCCUCUACCCCUGAGGACCUUUCCUUGUUGGAUGAAGGGGCAGAGCACUGGUCUGGCCUGGCAGCUUUGGCAGAGAGCAGGGGCCCCUGAUUCCACGAAGUCAAAGGUCUGUGGAGGGCAGAGUUUUGGAGGGCUCUUCCAAAGCCUGGCUGCUGCCCAGCCUAAGUCCAGGUCUAAAUGUCAAGGCAGGGGUUGACUUCUUGUGCCAAAGCUUCAUGAGCUCUGCUAAUUCCCGGAGAAAAGACUGAGACCCACUCCCCUCCCCAAGACCUAAGCUGGAGCAGGUGGGGGGGCCUUCCCACCCCACCCCACCCGAAAUCAGGAGCCCCACUUGUUCCAGAAAACCCAGCCCAGGACCAAGUCCACUGCCACACCCUCCACAGAGCUUGGGAUCCUUCGCGCUUGCAAACGUACACAGGACUAAAGAUCAAGUGUAAAAUCCAAACUGGAUCAUCAAAGGGAGUGUGGGCACUGAGACUCUGUCCCUCAAGGGCCUAUUGGUGGCGUGAAGGGGGUCCCAUGUCCCAGGACACCACAUCCCGUAGGGUGCCCUGUGACACAGGCCCCAGGUAUCUGUCCUCUCUCAACCUAACAUCUCCUGAUCUGUCCCUAAGGGUCCUUGGGUCACGCUGGACUGCAGGGUACACCUGGGAGGUGUGAUCCUCACCAAGAAGGAAGCUGAGUGGCAGAUGCCAGUGAGAUGAAAGACCCAAGAAACAGGGAGAUCAAGGCAAGAGCUGUGAAGUGACCACUGGCCUCUGGCACGUGUCGUGGCGAUAAAGGCUGGCACCCUCAGACCAGCACGUCUACCCCAGGAGGCACUGAGCUUAGUUCAGAGAGCUUGACCUAGGACUUUGCUAGAAAGGGAACGCCUGACUCAGCACCUUCCCUGCUCUCCCCAGGCUCGACCAUCCCAUAGCUGCAACUUUAACCCUGGAAAACAGAGGGGAAGCUAGGAUGGAGACUUUGGCAUCUGAUGGACCCAUCUGUGGAUACCUGGGUUUAUGUUUGCCUUUCCUGAACACAGGAUUUUCUCUCACUCACCAGGGAGAAACCAUUGCCGUUUUACACCCCAUCUAUGAAAAUGAAGCCUAGAUUCUUCAGUCUGACUUUUAAGGCCCCAUAUUGCCUUUCUAACUUUAUUUCCCACUACUCCUUUUCAUGCACCUUGCUCCCUGAGUAAACCAAGCUGCUGGAUGUGUCCAUAUCUGUCCAGGGCCUCCACUCUCUGUUCUUUCUGUCUGGUAUGCAAAGGGAUAGUAAAGAGAAGAAACGUGUAGUCGAACAGGCCAGAACUAAAAACUCCACUUUACCACUUACUGGCUGUGUGAUUUUGGGCAGGACACUUAACCUCUCUGAGUCUCCCCAUCUGUAAAAAUCAGGUUAAGAGAAUUGACCUCAAAGGGUUGUUGUCAAAAAUAACUAUUUUGACACCUGCCGCAAAGUAAGUGCCCACUAUGGCCACAGGCCUAAAUUUAAUGCAUCCAUCCAGAAGCCCUUCCUCUCGAGAAUGUUCCAAGAUAAUCACUGCCCCCACCUCCUCAAAACCAGAAACGAUUCCUUCCUCCCUAUUACUUAAUCUAAGAGUCCUUUGGGGCUCAAAUCAUCCUCUCCCUUGCACUUGAGAAGGCUAAAGUCCCCUUGGGGACUGUGAGCCCCGAAGUCAGGACCCUGGUCUGACUUCAGUGUCCUUCCAGGUCUUUGUACCCAGGAGGUAGUAAAUGCCCAUUUGACUGACUAAAAAGUAAAUGAAGCUCCUGGUUGACAGACUAUCUAAUCACUCUGGGGCUCCACUCACUCACACUCACAAUGGACCCGGGGGAGGAACUAAGGUACAGAUUGCAGAGUGGUCUUCGGGGGCGAAAG